UCGCACAGCGGCUGGCGGCUGUCGGCUCAACCAAGCGGUUGCUCUGGUCUGACGGUCAGUUUUGCUCCGAGCGCCAACACAUGUGCACGUGUUAUUAGCUCCACGAUCACUUGUUUACAAAUCGAAGGUAGUGCAAUAUCGCCGUCAACAGGAUAACCGUGACAGAACCAAGGAUUCAAUAACACCAAAAUGGAAAGUUGGUUGGGAGAUGUCAAACGCGUCAGAAUUCCUCGGCCAAAAUUCGGGAACAAUAAAUAUCCCGUGGAACCGCCCAAGGAUUAUUUGGAGGAUUGCGGAGGGGAUCUUGGCAAGCAACGUCGCCAUGACAAAGACCUGACUAAGGCGACAGAAGAGCUACGUCGAUCGCUGCAAGAGAAACUAUGACCUAGUCAACUAAGCAUUAGGUCUAUUUUAGAUUUAACUCUAGCCAAUGGCUUAAUGACUCCAUACACUCCCACUAAUACGAUUACACACGCACUUUGACGGACAUUGUUCGGAACAAAUGAUCGUGAUUUGCUAAAAUUACGAAGUGUUGCGGACACGCGGUACGCGUGUUAAUAUCGUCCGGGUUAUUGUUAUCAAUUAUGUAGUCUAUAGUGUUAUUAUUUUGUUAAACAUUCAAUUAAGGAGCGGUUUUCGUAGAUGUGGUAAAUAUAUUAAUAGCACAUCUACGUAACACAAUGAAAUCGGUGUAUAAGAAUGAGGUCGCUUUGAUACUUUUGACACACAUCCUAUUCAUGUCACGGUAUAAUGUAAGAUUUAAAAGUGAGUGGAUUUGAAUGUCAAAUGCCCCUGAUUUACCUAUCAGAAACGACAGACAUUGUCGUGUUCUGUUUCAAUAUAAAAUAUACAAUUACCUGUUUCAAAGUUACAAUGAACACAGACCUCGUGUCUUUCUUAUGUUAAAACAUGUUUUUAUGUGAAAAUGCUGUCAGUAUUAUUUUACAUAGAUUUUGUACACUUGUUAACAUAAUCUGAAAAUAAUAAAAUUGUUUCACUUGUCAUGAGCUAAAAGAAGCAAGCUACAUUAAACAUACUUAUGUGAUUGUUAAACCAGUAUCAUUAUUAACUGCGUAUUAGACAUAGUUAAGGUAUUUAGACUGAUAUAAUUUUAGAAUAAGUUUAUUGAAUCUCGAUAGUAUUAUAGUACUUUUAUAAAUAAAUAUUGGUAUAUCGUU